rnacentral:lncRNA from 1 species
UUGGUGCUUGACCCCGUCACCUAUGUGACAACUGAAGGACAGUCUUUGAUGGAGGGGACUGACCCUCCACAGAUUCCUUCCUUUGUACAGGAGGUAAAGGGCUCAGUUCCUACCAGGCCUGGCACACAGCUUGUCACAAGGCAAUCCUUGUGCUUGGACAGUUGUGGCCAUCUGGCCAUCCACUGAUAGGAUCUUGUUUGAUACAGGCAAAGGACAUAGUAGCCAAUGAGUUGAACCACGAGCCACCUGGAUGAUUCUUCUCCAUGAGCUGGACCUGAUAGUCCUGUGAACCGACGGCUGGGUGGUCUCUAAGGGACUCAUUGUGUGGCCACUGCAAUGGGAAGCGCAGGAACACCUCAGGUCCUUGCUGCAUGAUGCUGAACAGAUUACCUGGAGCAGAAGCCCAGCACUACAAUGACAGGCUCCAACUUCCAAGCAGCUACCGGAAUGAGCUUUUUAGGAUCAUGCUGCUCCUGGAUGAAUCCAUUCAGUGUCUUCUUCCUGACAGCUACAAAAGAGAAGAUGUCUAAUUUCAUGGUAUGUCACAUGAAAACCCCUCCUCCUUUACCAGGCUUAAUCCUUGUCCCAUCCUGUCCUGAAAAUUUCAUGGUCAGUGUGAGCAGGGUACAGUUCCCCAACAAGACAGGAUAGAUCUGUCAUAUUCACCAUGCUUACCUGGUAGGGAUGCUGUGGGCUCCAUACCUAUCAUGUGCCUGACUGUUCUGAAUCAUUGUCCAUGUCUACCACCUGGUUACCUUCCCAUGAACCCUCCAAAUCCUGGCCCUUAGGGACACUAUCUCCUUUGAGCCCUCAUUGGGCUGUAAAGUCCUCUCUCACUUAAUAAUCAUUUUUUAUUCCAUCUCUGCACACACAUAUGCCUUGCCAACUGCAUCUGGUGCUAGGUGUACAAUAAAAGCCAAAUUAGCAAAUAUAAUAAAACACAAAACUCAUGGUCUAACACCACAAAUUAAUGCUUCUGGUGCUCUCACAGUGAUGCUAACGAUAACAGAAUCUAAUAUGCUUUUAGGACUUCAAGUGUGCUGAUGGUUAAGUGAUUCAGACAAGACUGGGCAGUCAAAAUGGCAGAGUUGGGACCUAGGAUUCAAGAGUCUAUGCUUUGAGCUAUAUGAAGGCUGCAGAGUUUUUGGUCUUCACCAUCUGACCUUGAUUUUGGAGAAUUAGGAUGUGAUGAAGCCAAAAUCCACUGACUAGAGUGAAGGAAACCAUUUAUCUGAGAAUUUAGGCAUCUGGUAUAUCAGCGACAUUUUCAAGUCCUCGUCACUGUGAAGUACAAAGCAGUGAAAGUGCACUAAUCUUGGUGUUAUUAUAGAAUGCCUGACUUCAAAUUUACCCUUUUCUUCUAUCCAUGUGUUCGAUUUUGCACACAUUUUGUGUGUGUAUGUUUUAGCUUCUCUGG